GGAGAGGUGCCGGAGUGGUUGAACGGGCUCGCCUGGAAAGUGAGUAUACGGUGUUGAGCCGUAUCGAGGGUUCGAAUCCCUCCCUCUCCGCCA
rnacentral:tRNA from 1 species